AACGUAGGAGACAAACGUUAUCCGGAGUUACUGGGCGUAAAGGGCGUGUAGGUGGUUUAGUAAGUCUGGCGUGAAAUUUUUCGGCUUAACCGGGAAAGGUCGUCGGAUACUGCAAGACUAGAGGACGGUAGAGGCGUGUGGAAUUCCGGGUGUAGUGGUGAAAUGCGUAGAUAUGCGGAGGAACACCGAUGGCGAAGGCAGUCCCCUGGGCCUGCACUGACGCUCAUGCACGAAAGCGUGGGGAGCAAACAGG
rnacentral:rRNA from 1 species